AACGAACGCUGGCGGCAGGCCUAACACAUGCAAGUCGAACGCUGUAGCAAUACAGAGUGGCAGACGGGUGAGUAACGCGUGGGAACCUUCCCAGUGGUGCGGAAUAGCUCAGGGAAACUUGAGGUAAUACCGCAUAAGCCCCUAGGGGGAAAGAUUUAUCGCCAUUGGAUGGGCCCGCGUCGGAUUAGCUAGUUGGUAGGGUAACGGCCUACCAAGGCGACGAUCCGUAGCUGGUCUGAGAGGACGAUCAGCCACACUGGGACUGAGACACGGCCCAGACUCCUACGGGAGGCAGCAGUGGGGAAUAUUGGACAAUGGGCGAAAGCCUGAUCCAGCAAUGCCGCGUGUGUGAAGAAGGCCUGCGGGUUGUAAAGCACUUUCAGUGGGGAAGGAAAGACGCAGCGCUAACAUCGCUGCGUCUUGACGUUACCUAAAGAAGAAGCGCCGGCUAACUCCGUGCCAGCCGCCGCCGUAAU
rnacentral:rRNA from 1 species